AGAGCGAACGCUGGCGGCAUGCUUAACACAUGCAAGUCGCACGAACGGUUUCGGCUGUUAGUGGCGGACGGGUGAGUAUCGCGUAGGGAUUUAUCGUUGGGUGGGGGAUAACCCCCGGGAAACCGGAGCUAAUACCGGAUACGACACGGAGAGGCAUCUCUACCGUGUGGAAAGUUUUUCGGUCUGGGAUGGACUCGCGGCCUAUCAGCUUGUUGGUGAGGUAAUGGCUCACCAAGGCGACGACGGGUA
rnacentral:rRNA from 1 species